rnacentral:lncRNA from 10 species
CUCAGCUUUGCCCCUGCACGGAGUUUCCCUUCGCGGGGCCCGCUGGGGAAGCAUCCGCGGCUUGUGGUGGCUGUGGUUUUGUGCCCAGGACUCACACGUAAAAGGAGCUCAUUCGGAGGCAGGGGCACGCGCUUGUCCCCAGAACUCAAACCCCAGAGUCCCUCCGGUUUAAAAAAAAUGUUUUUAAAUAGAUGCUGACAUUUUUAAAAGGGGAAGAUUAUACAUACACUUCUACAUCUCCGACUUGUGUCAAGAAAUGGGAAGUUCUGGGCCCAGAUCCCCAUAAGUCAGCGAUGAGGGGGGCCGAGCAGGGGCUGCCCGUUAGACGGCCGCAGAGUCCCAGCCCCCAGCCCUGCUCACCUUUCUUACCUCUCUGGCCCCGUCGGCAUUUGAGCCUGGGACCCCAGACGAAAGGAUACGCUUCCUUUUAGAACCCCUGCCAAUCUGAGGACGGGGCCACCCCACAGACGCCGUGGCUCAGCAAGCAGACCAAUGGCCGAGGAGUCUGGCAAGGGGCGCUUGGCAGAUGAGAGUGGAGGUUGUAAAUCACCCUCCAUGCAAUGGUUCAUCAUAAAGGAUAUGGAGCAAAAUUAGAGGAGGCACGAGAAGGAAAGCCGGUGAUGAACAAGGAUUUGCCUCAACUACAGAGACAGCAUGGAACACGCCCUCCUAGGCUGCCCACAUCCUCAUCUGCAUGGGGGCACAGAAGCCUGGCCAUUCAUCCCAUGGGAGACUCAGGACAUGCUCCCAGCAACCUGAUGGGCUGCCCAAGGCUUGGCUGAUCCUGCAUCCCUGCAUCACAUCUCAGCUUCUCCCUCUGCCCAAAUCUACUUCCUCCCCAUUCCUUUCACAGGCAUUGAUUCCCUGAUAAACACCUUGCACCCCAUAUUCCAUCUCAGAGUCUCCUUGCAGAGAACCCAACCUGUGGCAGAGCUGGUCUCAGGACUCGGAGCGAGGGAGCAGGGAAAGAGGACAGGAAAGCAGGGAGAGUCAAUUUAAGGGUAUGUUGUCUGAGACAAAGAUUCUGCUAGGACCUCUGAGAUGGGUACAAGAUGCCUGGAGCCAUUCACUGGGCAGUAUCUGUCCAUCAGCUCCCAGGCCCCACAGAACCGGAGCUGCCUGUGAGGGCUUUCACUGCCCUGCAUUUCUGGGCUUCACAUAUGCACUGGCUGAGAGGGCUCCCUGUCUUCAAGGACGAUCCUGAGCAGAAAGUGGGUGCACUUGAGGUGGCAUGCUGUUGCGAGAGUCUGAGCUUUAUGAGAAGCAGACCCAGGGGGCAUGGUGUGGGGCAUCCCAAAGGACCUGCCAUACAUUAGGUGCCUUGGUCUUGGGGAGGAGCCCUCGGGAGUUCUGAGGGUGGGAGAAGAGGUAGGUGGGGUUAAUCCUUUCCCAUUCCCUCCCUGCCUCAGCACCAUGGCUCAGGCAGUAGCGCUGCCAGCUCCUCCUGGGAUCAGAGUUAUGGCCCUGCUCCCCUUGUCCCUUCAGGCUGAGGAACAUAAGGGCUUCCCAUGGUUGCUGGUGUCUGAGUGCCUCAACCUCCCUUGCUGGUUCCUUUCCCCUGCCCACACCUUUGUCAAUAGUUCCCCCCACUGAAGUCUCUUUGGUUGAGCAGUUGGUGGGGAUGCUGACUGAUAAAGUGGUCUAGGCCACUGCUCACUGCUUAAAGCCUUGCUUCAGAGAGACCUUCCAGGGCCCUGCAGCUCCCCCUUCUCCAACCCCUCCAACCCCUCCAACCUUUCUCUCUCCCAGCUGGUCUGGGUUCCCUACGGCAUCUACUUGCUUUUGAAUCUAUUUCUUAUAGAUACAUGUGUGUCCUCCUCUUUCACAGCCUUACCUUUUCAUAUGGAGGAAGAAAAAACCCAUUUCUAUAAAGCUAUUAAAUGUUUUCCUUUCACAAACACCAGUUUUGUACAUCAGAAGCACUGCCUUUCAUGCCUAUUGAAUUCUCGGAAAUGGGCUUCGAGUGCCUAUUUCAGGAGUUGAAAUCUGAACAUCAGCUCUUUCUUCCUCUCUGCAUUCCUGCCACACAGUCCUAAUCCUCUCCAGUGUGAUGGAUCCCUCUGGCUGGGUAGAAGGGAGAUCAUUUAAAGGAAAUUUGAAAAAGAAAAGAAUAGUAUUCCAUUUCAAGAGAUUUUUCUCCUGACACAGUUAUUUUCAACAGGUGACAGGUAUUGAUACUGAUGAAAGAUUCUUGAGUGAAUACAAACCACUCCCCACCCCCAUCCCCAGCAUACAUUCUCUAGAAAUUCCAGAAUGCCCAGUGAGUGGAUUCAUUCCACAUAUAUUUAGUGCCUAACUACAUGCCAAGGAGCUGGGUGCUAAGAACAAAAAAGUAUGAUUCCUGCCCUCUGCCAUAGAGUUUGUGAUCUGUGUUGAUGCAUUAAAGAUUAAUCCAAUGAUUACACAAAAUGUGAUGUUGCAAUUUUGCCUUUGCACUUGCUGUUCCCUCUGCCUGGAAUGCUUGUCCCUGCAAGGUGUCUGCCUGGCUUCCUCCAUACUUCCUCUAGGCCUUUUCACAAUCAUCCCUCUUCACUUGUGGCCUUCUUGGCCACUCACUCUGUCAACAUUCCUGCUCUUUUUUUCUCUCUAGCAUACUUCUCUGUUUAUGGACCAUCCCUCCCAGAAUGUAAGCUUCAUAAGAAUACAGAUUUUUCUUUUCAUAAAAUCUUUUAUUGUUCUCUGCAGAGAACAAAAUUCCCAGAGUAGAAAACAAUGCAUGGGAUAUAGUAGGUGCUCAAACAAUGUGUAUUGAAUGAUUAAACAUUGACCACACUAAGUGGUAAUAAGCGUGGGCUGAGAAGGAUUAGAGAAAAGAGAGUUUCCAAGGGAAGUGAUAGUUGGGCUGAUCUAAGGAAAGUUGGGAGGCAUCAAGUAAGCCUAAAGGAGAGGGAAAUCGUGCAGGAAACACCAGCAUAUGCCAGGGUGCUGGGUGAACAGGAGCAUGGUGGGCUUAAUUAAGAAACUAAAAGGAGGCCGGGUGUGGUGGCUCACACCUGUAAUCCCAGCACUUUGGGAGGCUGAGGCAGGCAGAUCACGAGGUCAAGAGAUCAAGACCAUCCUGGCUAAUAGAGUGAAACCCUGUCUCUACUAAAAAUACAAAAAAAAUUAGCCAGGAGUGAUGGCAGGCACCUGUAGUUCCAGCUACUUGGGAGGCUGAGGCAGGAGAAUAGCCUGAACCCAGGAGGUGGAGCUUGCAGUGAGCUGAGAUCACGCCACUGCACUCCAGCCUGGGCAACAGAGCGAGACUCCAUCUCAAAAAAAAAGAAAAAAAAAAAACAACAACUAGAAGUUCAGUGGGAUUCGAGCACAGAGGAUGGAAAAGAUAUGUGGGGAGGGAUUAAUGACAAAGAUGACACUUAGAACUGUCACACAGUGCUGGGAACUAGGCCAACCUUCACACAAGUCUGGGAGAAAGGUACUAUACGUAUUCCCAUUUUACAGAUGAGAGAAUCAAGGCCCAGAUAGUAUAGGUAACUUGUACAAGUUACAAACCUAAUGAGCAGCAGAAUUAGAGUUCAAAUGCAGGAACUUUGAUCCAGAAGCCUAAGGUCUGAAAUCCGUGUGGCUUUUAGUCUCUGGUAGAAGGACUAGGAGGGGUUGGCACAGGUACGGCUUUGUAGUGACAUAGAAUCCCAGGUUGGGGAUAGGAUAGAGCUGGCAGAUAUAGGCUGGAUAUCUCCUGGGAUGAUUCUUACAGACCUCCCAACUCCCCACCCCACCCCAUCUCCAGAGCUGCACAUGCUCUGAUUGGAUCGACCUUAAAAAGCUUGCUUCCAUUCUAGUCAGGAUGGGCAAAAUCAGUCUAAACUCCCUGAAGGUUUGGCCAUGAACCAAUAAGAUCCCUUCAGAGAUUAGUAUAAAGCUAGUGCUCUGUUCUCUGCAAUGACGGGUUAUUUUAAAAAGCAUUAACUAGGUCAUUUGCAAUGCAGUGUGAGUGGCCAAGGCUGCUGACUAGAAUCCUCUUGGGACUUUUAAAAAAAUCCAGAUGCCCAGGCUGCACCCUCACCAAUUACAUCAGAGUCACUCAGGCGGGACCCAAGCAUCAGUAUUUUUUAAAGCUCCCCGGGGAAGCCCAGUGUGCAAUCAAGUUUGAGAACCAACAGUCCAGUCCCCAGCUACUCAAAGGCUGGAGCAGGGAUUGGUAGCAUCAACAUCCUUGAGAAGCUUGUUAAAAAUGCAGAAUCUCAGGCCCUUUCCCAGAUCUACUGUUUCAGAAUCUGCGUUUUAUUUUUUUUGUUUGUUUUGUUUUUUAUUUUAUUUCUUCUAAAAAAAAAAGGGGGGGGGGGGAUACAUGUGCAGAACAUGCAGGUUGUUUCACAGGUAUAUGUGUGCCAUGGUGGUUUGCUGCACCUGUUGACCUGUCCUCUAAGUUCCCUCCCCUCACCCUCCACCCCUCAACAGGCCCUAGUGUGUGCUAUUUCCCUCUCUGUGUCCAUGUGUUCUCAAUGUUCAACUCCCACUUAUGAGUGAGAAUAUGCAGUGUUUGGUUUUCUCUUCCUGUGUUAGUCUGCUGAGGAUGAUGGCUUCUAGCUUCAUCCAUGUCCCUGCAAAGGACAUGAUCUCAUUCCUUUUUAUAUAACCUCAUGUGGUUAGUGGCUAUGGUAUUCGACCGUGAAGUUCUGGAGCAGGGCUUUUCAAACUUGUGUGGAUUCCGAGGUGGACGGAUCACCUGAGGUUGGGAGCUCAAGACCAGCCUGACCAACAUGGAGAAACUCCGUCUCUACUAAAAACAGAAAAUAAAUCGGGCGUGGUGGUGCAUGCCUGUAAUCCCAGCUCCUCGGGAGGCUGAGGCAGGAGAAUCGCUUGAACCCGGGAGGCAGAGGUUGCAGUGAGCCGAGAUUGUGCCAUUGCACUCCAGCCUGGGCAACAAGGAUGAAACUCUGUCUCAAAAAAAGAAAAAAAAAAGAAGAAUCUGCAUUUUAACACCAAGAUUCCUAUUCACACAGGUUUGAAAAGCCCUGCUCCAGGACUGCAUAGUUCAAUACCAUAGCCAUUAACCAUAGGAGGUUAUUUAGAUUUAAAUUAAAUUAAAAAUUCAGCUCCUCAGUUGCACUAGCGACAUACAUUUCAACUGCUCAAUUGCCACGUGUCACUGGCUGGUGGCUACCAUAUUGGACAGUACAGAUAGAGAAUAGCCUGAUCACUGCUGAAAGUUUAUUGGACAGUACUGCUCCAGAACAUUCUGGAGUGGUGUAAUCCACCAGUCUUUUUUCCUGUGGAUGCUGCAGGCAUACAGACAGACAGUGCUACCCUCCCUGGAUGGGACAAAAUUAAGAUACAUUCAAGCAGGCACACAGGGGAUGUAUCUAGAUUAUUGAUUUUCCGCUCAUUUGAAAUAAAUCAAGGACAUGGCCAUGUCUUCCCAAGCCCUAAAUAAGUGCAGUUUGUGGGGUCGGAAACAGAUGAGUGGGGAAGAAAGGAGAGGAGAAAUGCAAGAAGCAAGAUCAAUUUCAGGUGCUAGAACAGGAUGCAAGAGGGUUAGCCCAGGCCCCCACACCUCUCUGUCAGUCUCAGCACUGCCUGCUAAUCACAAGGCAGGAGAGCGCUUGGCAAGAAGAUGAGAUUGAUUUGUUACUUCAGGUGCAAAUAUGAAAAGGGGGCAUUUAGUCAGCUAAAUAAUAGCCAAGCUGUAGUGUGACAGGCUGGGGGCUUAGGUUGUUUUUCUUCUGCUUUGGGGUGGAGAUGGCAGCAGAGAGUUCCACCCUUCUGCAAAACCUUGCCUGUUUUCUGGGAAGGCCAGGCGAGGUUUCCGCCUUGUGGACCGUUUAGUUGCAGUCAGAGGGAUGUAUAAUGGGGCUAGAGCUGAACAAUAUGAUAAUGACAAGCCAGACCAGCAGUAGAGAGUGAUGUAUAUUUUUCUUGGAAAGCUGCUGUCCAUGUAGACAGCAGCUGACAGUAGGUGAGGGGCAGCAGUUAGUGGCAGAUCAUUUGCCUACUUGCACGCUACCCCUUGGGUGUGCUCCUUCCGAAAUACUGUGGGUCAGGGCAGGGUGAAAAGGGUGAAAACUCAAAACAAGAGAAUGCACCAACAAAAUGUACCCUACUACACAGCAACAUGCACCAUUCAGUGCUGUUUACAUCUUUUCAAACUUUCAGCUUUUAAGGCUCACUAAUACUUCUACAUAGUAAAGCUUUUUGCAUUUUGAGGUGUUUUGUGGUUGCCUUAUGGGGCUGGUCCUCAUGACCGCCUCUGGAGGAAGUCAGAGCAAAUUUUGCCAUCCCUUUAGACGUGAAUAAAGCCCAGAAUGGUUAAGUGAGUUCCAGAGUCACACUGAUCGUGAGUUGAAGACGUAAAACAAUCAUUCCGUUAUUUGUUUAUUCAUAACUAUUUACUGAGAGCCCUACUAAGUGCCCAGCCCUGGGGAUGCUUCUGUAAUGUCUCUGUUUUCAUGGAACUUGGAGCUUGGAUUCUAAAGAGGCUGAUAGAAAAAAAAAGUAAACAAAUGAAAGAACCACCAGUUACAGUAAAUGCUACAAAGGGAAGACAAACUAAGAGAAUGCUGAGAGAAAAACAGGGAGAGGAAUGGGGCAACUUGGAGAGGUUGGUUUGCAAAGGCUUCUCUGAAAAGGACAUGUUUAUGCUGAAACUUGAAGAAUGAGAUGUAACAAGAGCGGGAGGACAUUUCCGGCAGAGGGAGCUGUAUAAGUAAAGGCAGAUGAUUGGAAGAGCACACAGCCUACGUGGGCCACGCAAGGAGAUGGGUGUAGCUGGUGCCCAUGAGAGGCAGAGAGCAUGGUUUGAGAUAAGAGCACGGUAAGGGCCUCCCACCUCCCUCGCCCCCAAUGUAUCCCUAUGUCCAAGGGGAAUUUUGUCUUCACCUUUCAGUUCCUCCUCCUCGUGGCCCUCUAAUGAGGGUCAGUUCAGCCAGCCCAUUCCAAGACUUCGUGCUGUGGCAUCAGGAGGUCUGGGAAGGGGGAUGAAGAAGAGAGACAGGUCUGGGAAGGGGGAAGGAAGACAAAUAGGUUUCAAAGACAGGGACCCUGAAGCCUGAAUGUCUGCAAAAGCUGGAGUAGAAAGUUGAAAAUGAAGAAUUGAGAAAGAGCAAGGGGUCAGAGUUUCCAGGGCCGCUGCCAGCCACAGAAAGAAGGCCGGUCGGGUGGACGGGAGCCUCUUCAGUCUCCUUCAGAGAUAACUUAAGGCUUUGUCUCUGUGCUUCUUCUGACAG